UACGUAGGGGGCAAGCGUUGUCCGGAAUCAUUGGGCGUAAAGCGCGCGUAGGCGGCCCGGUAAGUCCGCUCUGAAAGUCCAGGGCUCAACCCUGGAAAGCGGGUGGAUACUGCCGGGCUAGAAUCCGGAAGAGGCGAGUGGAAUUCCUGGUGUAGCGGUGGAAUGCGCAGAUAUCGAGAGGAACACCUGCGGCGAAGGCGGGUAGCUGGGCCGACACUGACGCUGAGGCGCGAAAGCCAGGGGAGCGAACGGG
rnacentral:rRNA from 1 species